UUUAAGAUAAAAAUUAUUCUGUAUCAUUUGGUAGCAUGAGAGGAAGUUACUUCCCUCCCUUAAGAGAACUAGUUUUUUUCUCAAUGUUAAACUUGAUGCUGCAUUUUCUUUGUUUCAGGUGCUGGAAGAAAAGAUAGUCCAGGAAUAUAAAAAGUUCAGGAAGCGAUACCCAGGUUACAAGGAAGAAAAGUGUCGCUGUGAGUACCUGCAUCAGAAAUUGUCCCACAUUAAAGGUCUCAUCCUGGAGUUUGAGGAAAAGAACAGGGGCAGCUGAACUAACUGGUCAAGGGCUAUCGACCCUCUCUGCCCGGUGUGAUGCAAAGGAACAAACCGCUGUAAAUGAAGUAGAGUGCAACUGUCCGCGCUUGUUAUUGCUGAACCCAUGGUGGCAAGUAGGAGAGCUGCUCUAGGUUAAGGCUGGAUUUUCAUUGUUGCCAUAUAUUAAUUUUUAGGGUGUGGGCGCAGUGCCAACUCUCUAUAGCUGUGCCCAGGAGACUAAGAAAAGCAGCCAAGGCUUGGCUUCUCCACCUUUAGUUCAGCAAGUCAUUUUCAAAUCCUAAGAAAUGACAUCCUUUCCAGGACAAGAUACGUCAAGGACAUUAGAAUUCAGCCUGGUAGCCUCGCUAACAAAACAAUAACUUUUAGGAAGUUUUGAUACACCUGGAUGUAUAGGGGAAUGGCUUGGGGUCUUACCAAUGUACUGAAAGUGAAUUCUUUUACAAACAUGGCUAAAAACUUAAAACUGUCUCUGUGUC